rnacentral:piRNA from 1 species
UGAGUAGUGAGCAAGUCAGGGGA